rnacentral:rRNA from 1 species
GAUGAACGCUAGCUACAGGCUUAACACAUGCAAGUCGAGGGGUAACAGGGGAGCAAUCCCGCUGACGACCGGCGCACGGGUGAGUAACACGUAUCCAAUCUGCCAUUUACUUGGGGAUAGCCUUCUGAAAGGGAGAUUAAUACCCAAUGGCAUAAGCAAUUCGCAUGUUUUGCUUAUUAAAGAACUUCGGUAAAUGAUGAGGAUGCGUUCCAUUAGCUUGUUGGUUGAGGUAACGGCUCACCAAGGCAUCGAUGGAUAGGGGUUCUGAGAGGAAGGUCCCCCACACUGGUACUGAGACACGGACCAGACUCCUACGGGAGGCAGCAGUGAGGAAUAUUGGUCAAUGGGCGCAAGCCUGAACCAGCCAAGUAGCGUGAGGGAUGACUGCCCUAUGGGUUGUAAACCUCUUUUAUUAGGGAAUAACCACAGUUACGUGUAACUGUCUGUAUGUACCUAUUGAAUAAGCAUCGGCUAACUCCGUGCCAGCCGCCGCCGUAACAC